rnacentral:lncRNA from 1 species
AGCGCCGCCGGGGGCUCUGGGGACCCGCGUGGGGCGCAGUCUAGGCGGAGGCCAGCGCAGAUGCCCAGUCACGAUUCCGUGAGCAUUCGCCCCCACCGACGACGUGAGAUUUCUGCUCUUUGGCGAUUGUCACUGAUUUCACCUGCGUUAAAAAGGCUGUCAGGAGAGUAGGCCCUGGGACUUCCCAAAGAAGGGACCAAGCUGUACUCCCCCUUCUUCUCUGACCUUUUCAUAAGGACCAAGAGUUGGACUGGCAACACAGUGAAAAGGGUGAACCAAAAGUCACCAAUUUACCUGUGAGAAUAAAGGUCCACAUCCAAAGCAAGUGUACAUAAAUUAACUGGUUAUUUAACAUUCUCAGAGGAACACAGCUUCAGAUAACAGUUUGAUUGCCAUUUCAUGAAAGACCCUGAGCCAGAGGCACCAAAGUAAGCUACAACCGGAAUUCUGAUCCACAGACACUGGGGGAUAAUAAAGGGCACUGAAUGAGCUGUAAAAGGUCAGAAGAAGCCAUCCUGAAGAAACAGCUAAAUAAGUCAUUAAAUUUCUUUAUAUAUCAUGAA